rnacentral:tRNA from 1 species
AAAGAGGCCAGAAGCAAUAAGAACUGCUAAUUCUUACUCCCCAUGGUUAAACUCCAUGGCUCUAUCG